rnacentral:rRNA from 1 species
UACGAAGGGGGCUAGCGUUGCUCGGAAUCACUGGGCGUAAAGCGCACGUAAGCGGAUUGUUAAGUCAGGGGUGAAAUCCUGGAGCUCAACUCCAGAACUGCCUUUGAUACUGGCGAUCUUGAGUCCGGGAGAGGUGAGUGGAACUGCGAGUGUAGAGGUGAAAAUUCGUAGAUAUCCGCAAGAACACCAGUGGCGAAGGGCGGCUCACUGGGCCCCGGUACUGACGCUGAGGUGCGG